ACGAACGCUGGCGGCGUGCUUCACCCAUGCCAGUCGCGCGGAAAGGCCCUUCGGGGUACUCGAGCGGCGAACGGGUGAGUAACACGUGAGUAACCUGCCCCAGACUUUGGGAUAACCCUCGGAAACGGGGGCUAAUACCGGAUACGACACAGCUUCGCAUGGGGUCUGUGUGGAAAGUUUUUCGGUUUGGGAUGGGCUCGCGGCCUAUCAGCUUGUUGGUGGGGUGAUGGCCUACCAAGGCGACGACGGGUAGCCGGCCUGAGAGGGCGACCGGCCACACUGGGACUGAGACACGGCCCAGACUCCUACGGGAGGCAGCAGUGGGGAAUAUUGCACAAUGGGCGGAAGCCUGAUGCAGCGACGCCGCGUGAGGGAUGACGGCCUUCGGGUUGUAAACCUCUUUCAGCAGGGACGAAGCGUAAGUGACGGUACCUGCAGAAGAAGCGCCGGCCAACUACGUG
rnacentral:rRNA from 1 species